CCGCCCCCUGCCCUCCGCCACCACCACCAGCACCUCCCCCGCCUCCGCCUGCCCCGCCCGCCCAGACUGCCCCUCCUCGGCAUCCCGUCCCCGGCGGCGUCCUCCUCCCUGCGCCACCGCGUCGUCUCCCCCGCCCUGGUCCGCGCGAGGGUCGGCGGCGCCGACGCGGAGGACUCGGACGGCGAGGGGGACGGGGACGCUGGCGGGGCGGGAGGCCUCGUCGGGGAGGACGCGGCCGUGUUCCGGCUGGCCGACCAGCGGGUGGCGUCGUGGGCCUACUUCGCCGGGAUACUCUCCGUGGUGCUCUACGGGCUCAACGUGCUCUGGAUCGACCCGGCCACCGGGGUCGGGACCGGGUUCGUCGACGCCGUCGCCGCCGUCUCUGACAGCCCCGAGGUCGUUUUGUUGCUCCUUACCCUCAUCUUUGCUUUAGUCCAUAGUGGCAUGGCAAGCUUACGUGAAACUGGUGAGAAAAUAAUAGGCGAGCGAGCUUACCGCGUGCUGUUUGCUGGAAUAUCACUACCUCUGGCUCUUAGCACUAUUGUCUACUUCAUAAAUCAUCGUUACGGUGGUGUUCAGCUGUGGGAUGUUAAAGGCGUCUCAGGCGUCCAUGAGCUUGUUUGGCUGUCGAAUUUCAUCUCAUUCUUGUUUCUGUAUCCAUCUACUUUCAAUCUUUUGGAAGUGGCAGCCGUGGACAAGCCAAAGUUACACAUGUGGGAAACUGGAAUAAUGCGCAUCACGAGACAUCCACAGUUUGUUGGGCAGGUGAUCUGGUGCCUAGCUCACACGCUGUGGAUCGGCAACUCGGUCGCCGUGGCGGCCUCCGUCGGACUGAUCGGCCACCAUGCAUUCGGCGUUUGGAACGGCGACAGGAGGCUGGCGUCACGCUACGGCGAAGCCUUUGAUGUCCUGAAGAAGAGGACCAGCGUCGUGCCGUUCGCUGCGAUCGUUGAUGGACGGCAGAAGCUGCCUGAAGAUUAUUACAAGGAGUUCAUCCGGUUACCGUACAUCACGAUCGUCGCUCUGACCCUGGGCGCGUACUUUGCGCACCCGUUGAUGCAGGCGGCCAGCUACCGGCUUCCCUGGUAA
rnacentral:rRNA from 1 species